AUUGAACGCUGGCAGCAGGCCUAACACAUGCAAGUCGAACGGUAACAGGAAGAAGCUUGCUUCUUUGCUGACGAGUGGCGGACGGGUGAGUAAUGUCUGGGAAACUGCCUGAUGGAGGGGGAUAACUACUGGAAACGGUAGCUAAUACCGCAUAACGUCGCAAGCCCAAAGAGGGGGACCUUCGGGCCUCUUGCCAUCGGAUGUGCCCAGAUGGGAUUAGCUAGUAGGUGGGGUAACGGCUCACCUAGGCGACGAUCCCUAGCUGGUCUGAGAGGAUGACCAGCCACACUGGAACUGAGACACGGUCCAGACUCCUACGGGAGGCAGCAGUGGGGAAUAUUGCACAAUGGGCGCAAGCCUGAUGCAGCCAUGCCGCGUGUAUGAAGAAGGCCUUCGGGUUGUAAAGUACUUUCAGCGGGGAGGAAGGGAGUAAAGUUAAUACCAUUGCUCAUUGACGUUACCCGCAGAAGAAGCACCGGCUAACUCCGUG
rnacentral:rRNA from 1 species